rnacentral:rRNA from 1 species
AGCGAGAGAACUGUUGUUAAGGAACUCGGCAAAAUGACCCCGUAACUUAGGGAUAAGGGGUGCCACCAUCAGGUGGCCGCAGAGAAUAGGCCCAAGCGACUGUUUACCAAACACAUAGGUUUCUGCUAAGUCGCAAGACGAUGUAUAGGAGCUGACGCCUGCCCGGUGCUGGAAGGUUAAGGGGAUCUGUUAGAGCAAUCGAAGCAGUGAACUUAAGCCCCAGUAAACGGCGGCCGUAA